GGUUGUAUAGUGUAGUGGUUAUCACACUGGAUUUUGAUAUGUACUUGACUUCCAGUAACCCAGGUUCGAGCCCUGGUACGACCU